rnacentral:SRP_RNA from 1 species
GCCGGAGCUCUCUGCUCUGUCACCUUCGGGGGCCGGCGCCUGUGAGCGGGGAAAGCCUGGACCAGCGGGGGUACUGCUGCGUUGACUUGGUGUUCUGCUUGGCGGUGCGUCCGUUCCGGCGGCGUCACUGUAGAGCGACGCUGGCGAGCGGUUAAUGCGUGGGAAACGGGUCAGGCCGGCAACGGAGCAGCCCACCUCGCGCGCGCCGCCGUUGCAGAAGCACACCGAGGAGCAUCCCAGUGCUCUGCGCCCCAGGCGUCGUCGCGAGCCGGCGC